UCCCACUAGGACCUCUUUGGUGCCAGUUUCUCAAACGGAAUAGUAGUGCGCGCGUGAUUAACUACAAUAGUUUGAGAAACCGAAUGGCCAAAACAGAGAAACAAACAAAUUAAAAAUCAUUGUUAGUAACGAUAAAGCAAAAUCUGUAAAACUAUGUUAUCACAUUAAUUGGCCUAGAAGACGAAAAAACAAUUACCAGUGAAACAAACAGAAGAACAAAGAAAAAGGUCCACACAAAGGGCCUUUUUCUUUCCGUCGUUUUUCCUAGGGCCCGGUGAAUUCCGCAAGGCCAGAACAACGAGUCCGCAACGAGAAGAUCCGAGGCCAAGCCAACCACAAUCGCCAUCUUGUUCGUCCGGCGUGUGGAAAUAGGCGUCGCUCCUCGUGGCGUGAAUAUUCGGCAAACCAAUCCAAGCUAAUCAACAGCAGCCAAUCAUACUGGCAAUCGUCGGCUAUUUUCCCGAAUCGCCCGGUCAUCCCGCUGGCAAAUGCUGGCAACUGAUCCGCAUCAACAGACCGACCUUCCGACCACCGCAAGAUGCUGCAUCGAAUCGGCAAUUAAACCCUCGUUGGCCACUGCCAACUUGACACGAUGGAUUCUAUCUGGCAAUUACCGAGCAUCGCCCAUCUCACGACAUCCGCCGGCUGGCCAAUGUCGUCCGUCAACACCUACCACUUCCAAGGAUCCGGAUCCGCAACAAUCAAAACGCAUGCAUGCAACUCAGUUAAGUACCUCAUGUGACGUCAUGAUAGGAUAAUAAACCCUCUUGUUAGCUAAUCUAAAAAAAAA